AAACAGUAGUUUUCUAAAACUUUUUUCAUUCCAUGAGUGUAAGAAAAGAUGUGCGUUCCAUGUGAAAAUUUUUAUUUAAUCUGUUAUAUAGGGCUCUAAUUAUGACUACUAGAGGUGGAAAUUAAAAUUUGCAGCUGCUAGUGUUACAUCUAUAAAGUAUUACUCAAGUGAUUGCUAGACGGUUUUGUGAUAUGUGAGUGUUGAGGAUUUUCAGUAAGGAUUUAUUGUAAUUGAAAACAAAGAAAGUAUUACGAGAAAAAGAAAUAUAAAUAUUAACUAAUACGGUAUAUCAGCAUUCCAAAAUAAUAGUUUUAUCAAUAUAGAAGUUCAUAUAAAUAAAGACUCAAUAACGUUAGUCAUACUAAUGCAAAUAAUCUACCGUUAUCGGAACUCAAACAUGCAAGGUUUGGUCCACGACAUCAACGCUUUACCUUCUGAACCUUAUGGUUACUAAAUGAAUAUUCAAUUAACGAAGAAUGGAUAGUAGCACAGAGAGGCAAUAUCACGACCAAACGACACAAUCGGAUGUUCCUGAGAUUGAUAUAUUGCCUACUACUGUUAGAAAACAAAAACGGUUAGGCCCAGCACCGAUUGCUUCUUUCGAGGAUACUAUCGCUGAAGAUAAGUAUCGAAUGGAAACAUCAUGCCACAACCAGUACUGUCAACGAUAUGGUUCCAAAGAGGGCGAAUCUCCAAGAAAGGCAUCCCCACCUAAAACAGCGGGUAUUAUAAGUACAUUAGUGCCAUCAACUCCACGAAUAGAUAUUAGCAGAGCCUCUUCGCAUUCCUCUCAUCGUGAUAGUCGAGACAGUAGUCCAGAUAAUGUAUUUGAACAGGUUGGCACUGGAAAGUUGCAGGAUUCAGGUGUAUUGGGAUAUAGAGAAGAAGGCACAUUGGACUUACGCAGUUCAACUGAAGAGUUGCAUUUUAUGGAACCUGAAAAAGGAGGAACAGAAAGAGAAAGACCGCUAGUACCGAGGUACUCGCCCGCCAUGUACAAAUUAGAUGAGCAACAACAAACCAUAGGACACCAUCAGCGUAAAGAUUCAACAAGCUCUGAAGUUGCAGCAUUUUUGUGUAUUUCAGGACGUACGAGUCGUAUAUCCAGCGUGGGUAGCCAAGGAUCAGGGAAUAGUAAACUAUCGACUGUUUCUGGCGUAUCCGGUAUAUCUCGUUCACCGUCUCCACACCGCAUGUUAUUAGAAACAUCAUUUUGUGGUCCAAAACCUAUACACGGAAUUCCUGAUGACAGUAUUCCUAGCAGCAUUGAACCAAUAACAGCAAAAAUACUCGAGCAAGUUAUUCUAUCAAGAAAAAAGGAUCCAACUGAAGCAGUUCUGGCGGAAGGUGUCACUGUUGAUAUUAGAUCUAACCAAGGAGUUCGAAGCAAUAUUAUAUAUGGGACAGGAAUAUUUAGGAGAAAGUCAGACAGCAAUGCUAAUGAUAAUUGCAAAGAAGAAAUAAUUGAGCCACCACAAACGAGUAGAAGUAUUUCUAAUAAACGUUUUAUUCCGCCAACAGACUUGAGGAAACCUAUUGUGGGUGUAAUGCCAAGUGGAACUGAAUAUGUAAGAAUAAAAUUGAAACCAGAUCAUUGCUAUAGCGAUAAUGGAAUAGCUGACAAUGAAAUAAUAUUGGACGAUGACAAAAAAAAACCCACAUCAUUACAUCUUGAUAAUUUACGUUUCAAGCGAGGUACAUCAAGUACCAACAGUUUCAAUGCUAGUCCAAAGUCAACUAGUCAAAGCAAGUUAACUCGGGAGAAUGGCAGUCGUUCUCCUUCCCCAACCCACACAGUGUCGAGGAAAAAUUCAUUUUGUUCGAUUUUCAAACAUAGGGAUUCAGUUAGUCCAGACUCGUCUAGCAUUAGUCAUACAAGAAAAAAAAGUAGUUUGAACGAAACUCAUGAGCAAAAAGAACAAUUACGCAGUAGAAAUAAAGAAAGAGAACCGAUUUCAAUAAACACUACACCAAACAAACAGAACACGGUAUUUACUAUGUUCAAACUUAAUAAAAAAAAUGACACAAAACCAAAGUCGUCGUCACCAAACGAGCUCUGCUCUACGACCGCCAGCAUUUCAAAUGUUGCAAACAAAUUUGAAGACGAAUUGCAAACUAGUAUCAAUCAGCGUCGUCAAUUGAGGUAUUAUGAUACUCCUCUGGAUGGUAAAAGCAUUCAUAUUCCUCUACAUACUCCUCCCGAUGAAAAACAAAUGAAAUCAUUAUUAAACACUACACCAGUUACGUUAAAGGUAGACCAGGUGACUGCAGAAAAAGUGUCUCCUCAGUCUGUAAACUCAAGCAAUAAUUGUAUGAUUACUAUUCAUAAUAGGCCAAAACCAAUGCCACCCCUCAAGUGCUAUCGAAUAGAAAAUCCCGAUGGAAGUAUUACUAUACCAUUGAAGUCACCAACCGAAAAAAAGGAACGAGACAGUGAGUGGAGUAUGGAAGCACAACGUGACAGUUCACAAGAUAGUCAAGAAACUGUGAUAUCCAUUGCUCCUCAAUAUUGCAAUACUCCAUUGAGAACUACAACAAAUGCCUUAUCAUUAACCAAAAUCCAAAACGCGGUGGGACUAUCGAAACAAGAUGAUCCCGAAUCCACUUUAUCAGAAAUAUUCUCUAGCAUACAUGAUCAGAUAGACCAUUCGACCGCCUUAGUAAAAUUGAAUACUAAAGAAAGAAAACAAUUGUUAUUUGCCAUGAAAAUGGGAUCUGGUAGUCAAGAGCAAACAUUUACCACACAGUUUAGCGUUUCCAAAACGGAAAGUCAAUGCAGCCAGCUUUCUGAUGCUUCAACUGGUGAGUUCAAUGAUAUAUGUGUAGUAGAAAAACCAGAGAGUUUGUCACUUGAAAAUGAGCCAGUAUCGUAUCGAAAUAAACGACUUGAGAAUGUAAAAUGUCUGAAACCAAGAUGCAAUAGAUUUGACCGCGCAUCGAGUGAUUCAAUAGAUAAUCAUCGUCACUCAGACUACAUAGAAAAUAUUCAUAGUUUUCAGUAUUCGGAACAAAGUAACCAGAAUAUGGAAGCAGUUCAUGCUAAUAUUUCUCAAGAUAGUAGAGAUGAAUCAACAGUCAAAAUAUCAACUGAAUGUAGAAAUUUAUUUGAAGUAUCUGGUAAAAAGUCUAUGGCUUAUAAUGACGAGCAAAGACUAUCAUCGGAAAGCGAAAAUGGAUCUGAAGUGGAUUCCUCGUCCACAAAGCAUGUGCACUGUAGAAUGCUUGCCAUUGAAGAUCAUGAAAGCGCAGGAUUAGUUUUACAAGAUUCGUUUGAUGAUGAGUUACCUUAUAUACCUACUACGCUGCCAGAAGAACGAUCAGUUGGAGUGAAACUCCUACCAAUGAAAGAGCGUGCUCAAAUGGAAAUGAAAACUUGUCCUUUGGAACGUCCCAGAUCUACAACACCAAUACAUCCUGCCCCGCUCGAAAAUUAUUAUGGAAUUGCAAGCGUUGUCGAGGAUCAGGAUACAAAUUUGAUUCGCGGAGAGAAGUUACGAAUCAGUCUGCCAAAAAAACACGAUGUUUCGAUCGAAAGACUCUCUACGGGUCGAUCACCACGAAAAACAUUUUAUUCAUCUAGCAAAAACAUGUUUGGGUUUGGAGAACAGGAUACAAAACAAAUAAAUCAAAAAUCGCCAGUGGGCAAUGGAGAUGAAAAAGAGCUUACCAAUCAAUCAAAUGUUGGUGAAGAAGCUCCUCCUCCCUUGCCUCCUCGCAAAGCAUCUCAACAGUGGAUUGAUUUUGAGAGUAUUCCAGAGAUACAAAAUUCAUCGAAGCGUAUAAAAUCUCGAGAACAGCAUGAAUCUUCUGAUGAAAAUGUUCAAAUCACAGGAGUGCUAUAUAACUAUGUCAAGCCCGAAGAAUGUCAAUGUGAGUGCCACGAAAAUGAACGAGAAUUCGUUAAGCAACCGAUGUCAACGUCAAAAGUUAAAAUCUGAAAAGAACAACCCAAGCGACAUCAAGCAUGCAUGAUAAAUAAAAUAGAAGCGCGAAGUGCGUGGAAUCCCUGAUCACCGCUCGAUGGAAAUCCCAAAAAUACUUUCAAGUUCAAGUAAGUUCAGGCAUAUUCACUCUGAGAAACUGUUUUACACGAAUGGAUCACGAAUCACGAAACAUAUUGAAUAAUAAUUAUCAAAUCCUAAUAGUCUGGGUCCCAACUCAUUGUUCCAUUCCAGGCCAAGAAAGAGUCGAUAUUUUAGCCAAACGUUGAGCUAUUGAGGGUGAAAUUUAUGAGCGGUCGAUAGCUUACAACGAAUUCUAUAGCACGUCUCGCUAAGGAACACUUGUCAGCUGGCAAGCUUCAUGGGUCGUUGGGUGCACUCAAUUUUUCCUAAAACAUCGUCAAAAGCAUAGUUCAGGGAGCUGGAUGUGAGUAGGGAUUUCAUUCGUGUGACGACCAGACUCAUAUCCAAUCACUAUACGUUAGAUGCACAUUACCUUCGAAUUGUACCUUCCGAGACUAAUUAUUGUGCUUGUGGCGAAGGUUAUCGCGAUAUUGAUCAUGUCGUUUGGACAUGCGUGGAGUAUUUCGUCAUUUACUAUUGAAUUUACUCAUGAAUAUUUUUUUGAACCAACCGAUUAACUGCUAACAAUUAUGAAAUAGCUUAUUAGUUUUAUACAUUUUAUUGAUAAUUUCAUAAAAUAUGAAUAUAAAUAAAUAAGCUGUUUGAAAGGGUUUGUAUUGCAAAUGAUUUUCCCAAAAUGUCAUAUUAUUCUCGUCGAACUGCGUCAAAUGGUAUAUAACACUAUGGAUCUCCGAAGCUCCGUUCGAUUCGACUCACCAGUUCGAAUACCUUUCUAUAGAGAAAGGCAGAAAAAGAGUUAGUAUAUCAGAAAACGAUAUCAACCCUGUCCUUUGAAAUAUUAACGAAACAGUUCUCCUUAGAAUUGAGAAUAGACGACAUUUAAACCGACGACACGACCUUACUAUUCAAUACUGUAUCGCAAAUUUAACUACCCCUCAGUAAUUGGUAAUGUCAAAAUGAAUUCUCUUGAACAAAAAAUUUAACUGGCAACACAGGUUGAUAAGUUGUUGAUUUUGAAUAACAGUUACUAUAACCUUGAUUACUAUAUAUAAGAGACAUGAGAAAUGUAAGCAAAAAAACUACGAAUAGUAGUGUAAAUUGCGGAAAAUAAAAAUUUGGCUAACCAACAGCCUCUAAUGGAAGGUCUUAUCGCAGUUAAUUUGCAAAUGCUCCAGCCGAACUUUUAUCUCUCAUAAUUUGUUUGAAUUAUUUCUCCGAUUCGCUGAGAAUUUUUAAUUACAAAAUAUUGAACAAUUUUUUUUCUUGGUAUGAAACUGAAAUUGAUUAAAAGAUUGGUAAAACAAUUACCUAAUUUAGCGCAAUACAAAUCUUAUCGUUCCUUAUUCAGCAUCGCCUAUUGUGCCAAAUGCAACAGAUGGUGAUCUUCAGGUAUUUACCGGUAGUUCACUGAUACUUGUUAUUCAUCACAGUCAAAAUGGCAUUCUGAUUGAAGUUAGUUUUGAAUUUUCUAAUUUGUAUGUCGAGUGAAUCUUACCAUACCAACGAAUUAAAAUGUUUUCAUCACUUACCCGAUCCUAUCAUGAGGGCUCAUUCAGCAGUCCAACGUAUAUGUCGAGAGCUUCGGAAUGCUGAAAUAAUGGCAAUCCCCCGAUAAAUGCAUAUGUCUGCUUUUUCCCCAUUUUUGAAAAUUUGUAUAAGGAAAGAGUUUUUCCACGUAUCUGGAAAAACUCCAGACUGAAGCGAAUUAUUAAAAAGCCAGAACAAAGUUGCAACAUCUAAUGCUAAUUUUUUCAUAAAUAUGGGUGGAAUCCCAUCAGGUCUGGCACUUUUAGAUCCAAUUUGUUUAGGGCAUCUAUUAUCUCAAGUAUCUUAAACUCAAUGGAAGAGCUCCCCUUACUUGAAGAAUAUGACUUUCUCGUUUGUUCGAAUGUGGAGGCCACAGAACAAGCCCAAACCAAACGAUUUCUUGGUCCAAGAAAUGGCUUGCAGGACGUGUCUUAAAAGGAGAGGAGGAACUCCUCGGAACUUUGAAAAAUUCCUAACACUAGAAACCAAAUACAAGAGCAUACUUCAUGCCAAGAAUUGUAGCUAUUGGAGACAUUUUGUCGGAGGUUUGUCAAGAGAAACCUCAAUGAACACUGUUUGGAACAAGGCCAGACGAAUGAGGAAUCGUAACGUAAGCAAUGAGAGUGAGAUGAUGAUGAUUUUGAUCCCACCUCAUACCUCUACAAAGGUGUGAGAAGAACGAGUUAUCUAAAUGAUAAUUAAUAUUUUAGCCCAUAUCUUAUCCAGUAAACAAAGAAAACGAUCUGAUUAAUCUAGCAGGUAUAGAUUCUUCUGCAAAAGAACGACUUACCACAAAAUUACAUUUUCAAACGUUUGUAGACUGCUUAUUAUUUUUAACUCUCGAACAAACUAAAAAUCCAUCAUCGUCCUACCAAACACACUAACUCAAUACUUCUCACAAUAAUAUAUAUAUAUUUAUAUAAACAAAUAAAAAAUAAAUUCGUCGUAAUACGUAAAAAUUUGAAAAAGUUGAACUAUCUAGAUAUUUACUUACAAAACGGCCUUUAUGUGUGAAAUACAUAACUUUUUGAACUUCACCAAUGUCGUUGCGCGUUUUAUCUGUCUUGACAUCGAAUUGAGAAAAAUAGAGCAUGCCAGAUUUUGAAUAUGAAUACCAUGGUUAAGUAGUAAAUUCUCUGUUUCACUGAAAUCUAUUGUAUGCGUUCAGUAAAAAAUCUGAGGAAGUAUAUCUACUACAUUUUGGAAUUAAUCGCAUGGUUUUAUUUUGCAGUUGCUGUAAUCUCAAGAUUUGUAUGUUAUUAGCAAGAAACAGAAUGGUUGGGAAAAGUCAAUGUGUGGUGAAAUGACUGUUUUAUACAAUAGAAUCAUACUCUUUCUAGUAAGGAACCGAUGGAUGAACAAAUAUCCUUUUUGUAAGAAACCGAUGGAUUAAAAUAUCUUUUGCUAGGAAAGUUUGCCCAGAUUCUGCUCCUUCGGGACUCUCAUCCAAACAAUGAUUCCAUUGAUAGCCCCUUUACAAUGAUUGAAUUUUCUAUGGCACUCUUGUCUUGUAACAAUAACGCUCCUGAUUUGGACAUAAUUAAAUUCAACUUGGUGAAGAAUCUGCCGACCUCGCAAAAAGACGCUUUUUGGAAUUGUUCAACAAGUUGUCUUGAGCAAAAUAUUGUUCCAGCCGACUGAAAGCAAGUGAAAGUUAUCGCCAUUCAAAAACCGGGGAAACCAGCUUCCAAUCAAUAUAGACCCAUUGCCAUGUUGUCCUGUAUCAGAAAAUUAUUGGCUUGUUGCCAGAUACUCAGUUUGGCUUCCGAAGAAAUAAAGAAACGAAUGAUUGUCUGGCAUUGCUAUCGUCUGACAUCCAAAUUACCAACGCUCAAAAACAACAUGUGGCAUCUGUAGUUUUGGACAUUAAAGGAGCAUUUGAUUCAGUUUCCAUUGAUGUUCUUUCAGACAAGCUCAACCAACAUGGGCUUCCAGCGGUUAUAAAUAAUUAUUUGCCCAACUUUUUGUCAGAGAAGCGCAUGUAUUUUUCACAUGGCGGUAACAUUCAGAAUUAGCUACAUUGCUCUCCCGCAAGGCUCAUACCUCAUUCCGCUCCUCUAUAAUUUAGAUAACUUGUCCGUUUGGCUGUUCAUCUGUGUGUCGAAUUUUCUGCGUAGAAAACAGAGCUGGUCGUCUUUUCAAAAAGUAUUAUCCCUCGCAGCUUUAGCGUCAUAUAAUGGGAAGAAUUAUCGCGCAGGUUUUGACUUUCAAAUACCUCGGUGUGGUUUGAUUCCAAAUGCACGUUGGGAGGACCCAUUAGGUAUCUGAUAACAAAAUGCCAACAAAGAGUAAAUUUUCUUCGAACAAUAACAGGAUCUUUCUUGUUGGGGUGCGCAUUCGAAAGAUCUACUAAAAUUAUAUCAGACAGAUACUUUCAGUGAUGGAAUAUGAAUGCGUUUGCUUUCGUUCCGCUGCAAACUUCCAUUUUGUCAAAUUAGACCGAAUUCAGUAUUGUUGUUUGCGAAUUGUCUUAGGCUGCAUACAGUUCUGGCGAGAGUUCUUCCAUUGAAAGAUCGCUUUUGGGAGCUUUCAUCACGACUGCUAAUAAAAUGUGAGAAACUUUAUCCCCUGGUUAUUAAUAACUUCGAAAGGCUAGUCGAGCUGCAAUCUCAAACAAGAUUCAUGACAGUAUAUUAUAACCGUAUGUCACAGGACAUCGACCCUUUAAGAUAUAUUCCUAUCCGUGUCAGCCUCCUAUAUGUCACUGACUCAACUUUAUUUUUCGACACAUCCAUGCAGCGCGAAGUGCGUGGAAUCCCUGAUCACCGCUCGAUGGAAAUCCCAAAAAUACUUUCAAGUUCAAGUAAGUUCAGGCAUAUUCACUCUGAGAAACUGUUUUACACGAAUGGAUCACGAAUCACGAAACAUAUUGAAUAAUAAUUAUCAAAUCCUAAUAGUCUGGGUCCCAACUCAUUGUUCCAUUCCAGGCCAAGAAAGAGUCGAUAUUUUAGCCAAACGUUGAGCUAUUGAGGGUGAAAUUUAUGAGCGGUCGAUAGCUUACAACGAAUUCUAUAGCGCGUCUCGCUAAGGAACACUUGUCAGCUGGCAAGCUUCAUGGGUCGUUGGGUGCACUCAAUUUUUCCUAAAACAUCGUCAAAAGCAUAGUUCAGGGAGCUGGAUGUGAGUAGGGAUUUCAUUCGUGUGACGACCAGACUCAUAUCCAAUCACUAUACGUUAGAUGCACAUUACCUUCGAAUUGUACCUUCCGAGACUAAUUAUUGUGCUUGUGGCGAAGGUUAUCGCGAUAUUGAUCAUGUCGUUUGGACAUGCGUGGAGUAUUUCGUCAUUUACUAUUGAAUUUACUCAUGAAUAUUUUUUUGAACCAACCGAUUAACUGCUAACAAUUAUGAAAUAGCUUAUUAGUUUUAUACAUUUUAUUGAUAAUUUCAUAAAAUAUGAAUAUAAAUAAAUAAGCUGUUUGAAAGGGUUUGUAUUGCAAAUGAUUUUCCCAAAAUGUCAUAUUAUUCUCGUCGAACUGCGUCAAAUGGUAUAUAACACUAUGGAUCUCCGAAGCUCCGUUCGAUUCGACUCACCAGUUCGAAUACCUUUCUAUAGAGAAAGGCAGAAAAAGAGUUAGUAUAUCAGAAAACGAUAUCAACCCUGUCCUUUGAAAUAUUAACGAAACAGUUCUCCUUAGAAUUGAGAAUAGACGACAUUUAAACCGACGACACGACCUUACUAUUCAAUACUGUAUCGCAAAUUUAACUACCCCUCAGUAAUUGGUAAUGUCAAAAUGAAUUCUCUUGAACAAAAAAUUUAACUGGCAACACAGGUUGAUAAGUUGUUGAUUUUGAAUAACAGUUACUAUAACCUUGAUUACUAUAUAUAAGAGACAUGAGAAAUGUAAGCAAAAAAACUACGAAUAGUAGUGUAAAUUGCGGAAAAUAAAAAUUUGGCUAACCAACAGCCUCUAAUGGAAGGUCUUAUCGCAGUUAAUUUGCAAAUGCUCCAGCCGAACUUUUAUCUCUCAUAAUUUGUUUGAAUUAUUUCUCCGAUUCGCUGAGAAUUUUUAAUUACAAAAUAUUGAACAAUUUUUUUUCUUGGUAUGAAACUGAAAUUGAUUAAAAGAUUGGUAAAACAAUUACCUAAUUUAGCGCAAUACAAAUCUUAUCGUUCCUUAUUCAGCAUCGCCUAUUGUGCCAAAUGCAACAGAUGGUGAUCUUCAGGUAUUUACCGGUAGUUCACUGAUACUUGUUAUUCAUCACAGUCAAAAUGGCAUUCUGAUUGAAGUUAGUUUUGAAUUUUCUAAUUUGUAUGUCGAGUGAAUCUUACCAUACCAACGAAUUAAAAUGUUUUCAUCACUUACCCGAUCCUAUCAUGAGGGCUCAUUCAGCAGUCCAACGUAUAUGUCGAGAGCUUCGGAAUGCUGAAAUAAUGGCAAUCCCCCGAUAAAUGCAUAUGUCUGCUUUUUCCCCAUUUUUGAAAAUUUGUAUAAGGAAAGAGUUUUUCCACGUAUCUGGAAAAACUCCAGACUGAAGCGAAUUAUUAAAAAGCCAGAACAAAGUUGCAACAUCUAAUGCUAAUUUUUUCAUAAAUAUGGGUGGAAUCCCAUCAGGUCUGGCACUUUUAGAUCCAAUUUGUUUAGGGCAUCUAUUAUCUCAAGUAUCUUAAACUCAAUGGAAGAGCUCCCCUUACUUGAAGAAUAUGACUUUCUCGUUUGUUCGAAUGUGGAGGCCACAGAACAAGCCCAAACCAAACGAUUUCUUGGUCCAAGAAAUGGCUUGCAGGACGUGUCUUAAAAGGAGAGGAGGAACUCCUCGGAACUUUGAAAAAUUCCUAACACUAGAAACCAAAUACAAGAGCAUACUUCAUGCCAAGAAUUGUAGCUAUUGGAGACAUUUUGUCGGAGGUUUGUCAAGAGAAACCUCAAUGAACACUGUUUGGAACAAGGCCAGACGAAUGAGGAAUCGUAACGUAAGCAAUGAGAGUGAGAUGAUGAUGAUUUUGAUCCCACCUCAUACCUCUACAAAGGUGUGAGAAGAACGAGUUAUCUAAAUGAUAAUUAAUAUUUUAGCCCAUAUCUUAUCCAGUAAACAAAGAAAACGAUCUGAUUAAUCUAGCAGGUAUAGAUUCUUCUGCAAAAGAACGACUUACCACAAAAUUACAUUUUCAAACGUUUGUAGACUGCUUAUUAUUUUUAACUCUCGAACAAACUAAAAAUCCAUCAUCGUCCUACCAAACACACUAACUCAAUACUUCUCACAAUAAUAUAUAUAUAUUUAUAUAAACAAAUAAAAAAUAAAUUCGUCGUAAUACGUAAAAAUUUGAAAAAGUUGAACUAUCUAGAUAUUUACUUACAAAACGGCCUUUAUGUGUGAAAUACAUAACUUUUUGAACUUCACCAAUGUCGUUGCGCGUUUUAUCUGUCUUGACAUCGAAUUGAGAAAAAUAGAGCAUGCCAGAUUUUGAAUAUGAAUACCAUGGUUAAGUAGUAAAUUCUCUGUUUCACUGAAAUCUAUUGUAUGCGUUCAGUAAAAAAUCUGAGGAAGUAUAUCUACUACAUUUUGGAAUUAAUCGCAUGGUUUUAUUUUGCAGUUGCUGUAAUCUCAAGAUUUGUAUGUUAUUAGCAAGAAACAGAAUGGUUGGGAAAAGUCAAUGUGUGGUGAAAUGACUGUUUUAUACAAUAGAAUCAUACUCUUUCUAGUAAGGAACCGAUGGAUGAACAAAUAUCCUUUUUGUAAGAAACCGAUGGAUUAAAAUAUCUUUUGCUAGGAAAGUUUGCCCAGAUUCUGCUCCUUCGGGACUCUCAUCCAAACAAUGAUUCCAUUGAUAGCCCCUUUACAAUGAUUGAAUUUUCUAUGGCACUCUUGUCUUGUAACAAUAACGCUCCUGAUUUGGACAUAAUUAAAUUCAACUUGGUGAAGAAUCUGCCGACCUCGCAAAAAGACGCUUUUUGGAAUUGUUCAACAAGUUGUCUUGAGCAAAAUAUUGUUCCAGCCGACUGAAAGCAAGUGAAAGUUAUCGCCAUUCAAAAACCGGGGAAACCAGCUUCCAAUCAAUAUAGACCCAUUGCCAUGUUGUCCUGUAUCAGAAAAUUAUUGGCUUGUUGCCAGAUACUCAGUUUGGCUUCCGAAGAAAUAAAGAAACGAAUGAUUGUCUGGCAUUGCUAUCGUCUGACAUCCAAAUUACCAACGCUCAAAAACAACAUGUGGCAUCUGUAGUUUUGGACAUUAAAGGAGCAUUUGAUUCAGUUUCCAUUGAUGUUCUUUCAGACAAGCUCAACCAACAUGGGCUUCCAGCGGUUAUAAAUAAUUAUUUGCCCAACUUUUUGUCAGAGAAGCGCAUGUAUUUUUCACAUGGCGGUAACAUUCAGAAUUAGCUACAUUGCUCUCCCGCAAGGCUCAUACCUCAUUCCGCUCCUCUAUAAUUUAGAUAACUUGUCCGUUUGGCUGUUCAUCUGUGUGUCGAAUUUUCUGCGUAGAAAACAGAGCUGGUCGUCUUUUCAAAAAGUAUUAUCCCUCGCAGCUUUAGCGUCAUAUAAUGGGAAGAAUUAUCGCGCAGGUUUUGACUUUCAAAUACCUCGGUGUGGUUUGAUUCCAAAUGCACGUUGGGAGGACCCAUUAGGUAUCUGAUAACAAAAUGCCAACAAAGAGUAAAUUUUCUUCGAACAAUAACAGGAUCUUUCUUGUUGGGGUGCGCAUUCGAAAGAUCUACUAAAAUUAUAUCAGACAGAUACUUUCAGUGAUGGAAUAUGAAUGCGUUUGCUUUCGUUCCGCUGCAAACUUCCAUUUUGUCAAAUUAGACCGAAUUCAGUAUUGUUGUUUGCGAAUUGUCUUAGGCUGCAUACAGUUCUGGCGAGAGUUCUUCCAUUGAAAGAUCGCUUUUGGGAGCUUUCAUCACGACUGCUAAUAAAAUGUGAGAAACUUUAUCCCCUGGUUAUUAAUAACUUCGAAAGGCUAGUCGAGCUGCAAUCUCAAACAAGAUUCAUGACAGUAUAUUAUAACCGUAUGUCACAGGACAUCGACCCUUUAAGAUAUAUUCCUAUCCGUGUCAGCCUCCUAUAUGUCACUGACUCAACUUUAUUUUUCGACACAUCCAUGCAGCGCGAAGUGCGUGGAAUCCCUGAUCACCGCUCGAUGGAAAUCCCAAAAAUACUUUCAAGUUCAAAAACGAUGAAACCUUCCAGAAACAUAGCCCAAACGCAGAUAGUUCUAAUUCGAGAGUUGGUCAUCAAAAUCUCUUAUCUCUAUCUCUAACCUGGUUGUUAAGUAUAUAUUAAACGAUGUGUAAUAAAGUUAAAUUGAAGAAAACUGUAUAAUUUCUGUAUAGGUUAACGAAAGCAGAUUUGUAAAAUUAUAUUACGUUGAAGAAAUAUGGAUAUCUGAAUAUUUCCAAGAUCUUUAAAAAAACGUAUUAGGCUUGAGCUUGAGCAACCACCUCUGGUUGCUACUCCAUUAUCGAGAUUAGCUGAAAUUGUACAGAGAAUUUCUAAAUGAUCACACCUGAGACUAGCAAAUCAUCCUUCUUCUGGUAACCACAGAACUCAUUGAUCAGUACCGGAACGUGGCCAGUCCCGAACGUAGAUCGCCUAAGGAAUGGGAAGGGGUGUUGGUCAUACAUUUUCGUUGAUAGAGGCAAAAUACUACUGCGCACUCCACAAGUGUCAUGGGAGAAGGAUAUUUGUUAGUAAAAAUUUCAGUAAUGGUAGUAUUCGCGCGCGACUUAGUAUGCUCCGGUUUCAAGUCUGUGGUGAACUAAUUUCUUAAUUUUUCGUGUACAAAUUGUUUCACUACAAGACCAAUUAGAGAAAAAUGUACUUGACCACAUUUUAUGUAAACUUGAAGAAGAUAAUCGGACUCGUAGCAAUGCAACACUUAAUGAGUUAAGUGACCACUCUUAAAUCUUGGCAUUCAGAAUACUAGUUGAUAAGGAACCUGUGACGUUAACGAAUUAAAAACUAUCGUCAGUUGAAUCACAUUUUUUCAAAUUUUGUUAUUAGUAUUGCUGUCAUUAAGUACACUGAAGCAGUUCUUCUAUCUAUAGUAUUAGUAUAUAAUUCUCUAUUCAAACAACAUACAAGAAUAAUAACAAAAACAGUCACCUUACGGUAUUCGUAAUCGUUACCCAUGGAUGACCAUCGAUUUAUGAACACCAGUAAAAAUAAAAAGUUAUUAUAUCCAACGUGUUAAGGCAAACUCCCACAAUCAGCAUCUCAAACAAAUGCUACCACAUAUCGAUUCCAAUAAAGGCGAAUAAAAAAAAGUAUUAUCCAAAUCUUCUUACGAACGCACCUCAAUCGAAAUUUUGGACAAAUCUUGUAUAUACGUUCGGACUUAAAAAAGGAUAAGAUAAACUUGAUCGGUAGGAGCAACAAAAUUAAUGACAUUAACGAAGCUUUGGAGAUUAUCAAUAAUUUUUUUUCAAAUAUCGGUAAUCAAUUAGCUAAAGCUAUUCCUAUAAACUCAUCUUUUUGUCCCAUAAGUAAUGUUUGUCGUGUUUGUUUAUCCAUAUUUUUAUGUCCUUCAUCUAUCAAUGAAGUGAUCCUCUUGAUACAAAAUUUGGAUAAGAAAAAGAGUAACGGUACUGAUAACAUCUUUGUCAGUGUACUAAAAAAAUGAUUUGCUCGAAUAUUCAUAGAGGAUAUUCUUGUUACGUAUCGUUUUGUAUCACACUACUGGUGGCUGCUUUUCAGCACCGGACCACCAGUUCAGGGUCGUUUAUCUUGUUGGUCUCCUGGAGAAUCUUCACUUCACUAUUUUUAGGGCGGACUUUUCUUCCCAACCUAUGGUCACUGAGUAAAUCGUUUAUUCGGCGGAAACAGAAUUACACAAAAAAAACUAAACAAAAUGGACGACACAGCUUCUAUAAAAAGAAAGUCCGUACAAUUUUAACUUUUUUUAAACACUAUAUUGUAUCUAUUCACUAAUUUUUACUUGCGCAAG